CGCUCACCUUGGUACGUGUCCAGUGUGCAAAGUAAUUAUCGCCGUCGUGACCCAAGAGGCGAUCAAAAAGAAAGCGACGAUGAGUGCGGCCGCCGGUAGAAAGCUGCGGAGAAAAAUCGGUUGGGAUGAUCGUGCCCACGGUGUAAAACUGCGUGUCAUUCGCCAAGUACCAACUCCAGGAAAUGCACUGUGAAAAGCGAGCGAGUCGAUUUUUGAAGAUGUAUUCAUUAGAAAUUAAGGCGUAAUGGCAUUCCGCCACCAGAAUUUCUCGCAGGCCUCGUAAUCCAGCGCCGUAGGUAAUUCGAUCAUGGAAUGAUCGUGAUACCAUUUCAUCAACACCUGGACUAGACCGAUCACCAGCAGGUAAAUCGGGGUCAGGCGAAAGUAUCUAUAGAAC